ACUUCAGGAGCCGAAGGUAAUGCUGCAGGAUCGAGGAGAUUUGUAUCAUUAGAAAAAGAUUCUGGAAGUACUGAGGGUGUACUUGGCGUAGGAUAAUUCAUGGAAGGCGGGAUAGCAGGCGACAUGACAGGAGCCAAAGCUGGUUCAGCAUCUGUCAAUGACAUAUCAUAUGCAUGGGCAUCUUUAUGUCUUCUAGCGCGUCGGGGUUGUGGAGCCAUUGCACUACCUUGCUGUAUAUACAUUUGUGCGUUCAUUUGAGCAGCUAACUGAGUGUCAAUUUCAGGGCCCCCAUAUGAAGCAAUAUUGCCAGCAACAUUUUGCCUAUAAGUCUCAGGAUUACCGUAAUUUCCAAACUGCCCGGGAUAGGCCAUUUUGUUUUUGUGUCAAGUUUACUUGGUGGAUGUACGAAUAUAAGUAGGUAAGGGUAGGGCAAAAUAUAUACCAAAUAAAAAGACUGAUUUGAAAG